CCUGCCUGCCUCUUGUGGUCUUAGACUCUCUUUUCCAAACACAACAAACUCACCGCCACACACUGCCCUUCCUGCGACCUUGAAUCCAGAGACCACCAGGCCCAAAAGCCACCUGGAGGAUUUCACUACUGUCUCUGUGGUGGUCAGAAGGGCUGAGAGCAGAACGCAGGAGCCAGAAGACAAUGUCAGAACCCCUUGGAACUGGAGUUACAGACAGGUAGGGAAUCCACAACAGACCAAAGCAUGGAUACGCCCCAAGUCCAACGUGGUGAACCGAUGAAUCUCCAAAGCACAACCUAGACACAGGUGACAUCUCUGGGAACCUGAGCACAAGACACAGCUUCAGCGAGCUCAGCAGGUUGGUGAGUGUCCAAGUGAUUUAGCUGGUCUAAAUCCCUUCCAGGUAUCUCAGCCUGUUUCUUGGUCUGAGUCUUCUUCUCCUUUGUAGUUAACUUGUCUGAAACUCUUUGCAGCUUUAUUGCUUACUCUGAGAGGAAGGGGCUUAGUGAAUCUGGUCAGUUUCAGGGACUUCCUGAAGCUAUUUUGAGUUGUUUGCCUUCCUGUUUAACUUGAUUCCCUGAAAGAUGGGUUGUUUCAACCUGAGAGGAAAAUGGUACACAAUAGGCCAAAGACCUGGGUCCCAUCAGCCCCUCCCUAGCCCAGAUAGUUCCUCCACUACCAAUUUGCCCCUCCUAUUUAAAUCCUGUUGGCAACCCUUUCUUGUUAAGGCCACUCUAGACUGGAGAUGGGGGCAGUCUAGAGUGUCCUGUGGGAAAUAGGGAAGUAGGUGUGCAGCUUCUGGAAUUCCUGCCACACAAGAGGCACUGUCUGCUGCACUCCUGCUGAGGUUUUCUCCAAAGGCGCUGACAUCCUGGGGUUCUGGUCCUAGUGUGCAGGCCUCGUUUAGCACAAGAAACCCAAGCUUAGAAUACAGUUUCGAUAAGCAUCCUUUUAUGCUGAGCAGGUCACAGACCAGACAACAAAAGGUUCAUCCUCCUGCCUGACCAUCAUCCAUCCAUCAGCAAGACCAUGCUCCAGUUUGGACUUCCUGGAUUCUGCAGCUUCAUGCAGGAGUUAGAGCAUGUGAGGAGAUCAGCUCGGGUCCAUAGCUGGGCCCACCCACCUGCUUCUCUUCCUGUCCUCAGUGUCACAACAAUACAGGAUUCAGUCGUGAGGAUACCCCAGCCCAUCUGCUCAUUGCUCCACACAGCUACUGCCUCCAGAAGUUGAACACCUGUGACAGAGCCAAUUAUCUAGGGAUAGAGGAGCCAAGAGGCUUGGGUUGCCCUUGAGGCUGUAUUUGGGCCAGCUGAACAGAGACUCCCCGUGUUUCUACACAGAGGCAUGGUCAAGAUGAUCCUGUAGACAUAGUUACCACUCUUAUCUGAGUCGGUGUCCUUGUCCCUUAGAACUUGUGCACAGUAUCUGGGACUGUAAGGGCGGGGCCUGGGUAGAUAUAGACCCAGCCACUCAUUAGCUAAAAUGGAUGGAUGUCCCAGUAAUGUUGACUCCCUUUCUUCCAGCCUUACCUGGGGGCAUUUUGCCAGGAAGAGAAACAGCCUUCUAGUGAGAGACUCCCAUCUGGUGUGAAAUCCUUAGGCCAUUCCAGAGGCAAAGCCAAGGAGGCCUAGAGAGCUUAGCAGAAGAUCUCAAAUGGCCAAUUGGAGGGUGUGGGGUGGUGACUAAACUUUUAAAGAAGUAUGGCCUUAGAAGAGUUUCCAGGCCUUAGAAGAGUCCACUGUCCCCAAGAUGGUCUGAAGUCACGGACAAGAGUGUGGGUAUCAGGUUCUCAUCUGUGCCUGGAUUCAUUAAAGACCCCCAAACUUCUGCACAGCUCAAAUACAAGAGGAAGAGAUUAUUUUUCUCUCACUGUUAUUAUAUUCACCCAUUUUGUAUUACUAUAACACAAUACCUGAGGCCAGGAGACUUAUAACAAACUCUGUUUCGAAACCACAUCCGGUGAUGUUGAUUUUUGACAGGGUUUCCACCAGCACAGGACAGCACAGUGCAGGGCAGGAAAUGCACAGUGUGUUGUCUUGGUCAGUGUUCUACUGCUGUGAAGAGACACCACAGCCAUGGCAGCUCUUAGGAAAGCAUUUACUUGGAACUUGCUUUCAGUUUCAGAAGUUUAGUCCAUUAUCAAAAUGGCACUGAGUAUGAAGACACACAGGCAGACAGGAUGCUGGAGAAGGAGCUGAGAGUUCUGUAUCUGGAUCCGUGGACAGCAGGAGAGACACUGGGACUGGCUUGGAUUUUUGAAACAUCAAAGGUCAGUCACUCCAGGGAGACACACUUUCCCCAACAAAGCCAUACCUCCUAAUCCCUCUUAAAUGGAGCCACCCCUGUUGACUGAGCAUUUAAAUCUAUGAGCCUAUGGGGGCCAUGCUCAUUCAAACCACAGCAGUACACUUCCCUGUAGUCACAGAACUCAGGAGGUGGAAGAGAGAGUUUGAGGUCAGGGUCAGCGUCAAGAAAGGUGGGAAGGGGAAGAGAGGAAAGAAGGAAGGGAGAGAGGAAGGAGAGGGAGAGGAAGGGAUGGGACAGUCACAGUGCCGAGCACAGGCCUCCCUUCCUGUCCCUGAGGCCUCCAGGCAGUUUGGCUUUCUCAUAGCAAGCCUUCUGGUUUCCGAACACUUGGAGGGUGAUGUUAAAGCUGCGAUGUCUUGAUCCAGCCUUGGAAGUCAGGUUGUGUCUUCCUUCUCAUUCCAUAGUGGAGAUCAGGCAGGAACACUGUGCUCAAAGGAGAAAAUGGUGGCGCCUCCUCUGAGAAGGCCGAGUUCUAGGGUAGCUGCCUUGAGAAACUGCUGCAGGCUUCCUGGGGGUCCUCAGAGACAUGGGGUGGAAUUCCCUUUGACGAGAACUGGGAAUCUAAAUGAAAUUGUUUUAGAGCAAGAACAAACAGUCUUUUAGAAUUUUCUAGACAGAGGAAACCCUUCCUGCCCCUUGGCCAGCCCUGUUUCCUCGGCAUUGUGAACGUGAACAGAUUUUUUUUUUCAAUCGCCCUAAUAAUGCUCAUUCUUAGGAUGCCUGCUUCCCACGUGUGGGGACAGAGGUGCAGAAAAGCAUUUCCCUGAUAUCAAGAUGACAACAUGACCAACUCUGUAGCACCUCACAGAUGAUUUCUACCAGCCUUAGCUACGGAAACCGCACCCCAAGAAGAGCUUUGAAUUAGCCAUAUCCAGAGACCUGAUUCUGCGCACCCAGCACAGAACAAACACCCUUCCCCCAGAGGUCCACUCUAGAUGAGAGAGCUUCCCCAGGGGUUGCUAGCCGCACCUAACUGUCAUAAAGGAUGCUGGCCCCAGAGCUCAGAGCACACCUCCAUUGCACCUCGGUGCCUGCCCCAUGUCUGAGCCCAUGAGUUCUCAUCAGUAUCGCCUCCAGUCUUUUGGGCCUGCUUGGGACCUUUACUUUCUUGGGCUGUGGAACCAUAAUGUACUGACCUCGAAACCAGUCCUGGCUGGGUUACAGCCAGGACAACAAACUUGUUUCCACUGGAGAGCCUGGGUGCAUUCUAGUAGCAGUGAUUUAACCAAAGACCACCCAGACCUGAUUUUACUCACUGCCCCUUGCUACGUCUGAAGGUCUGGGGAAAGCACCCACCUUGGCCUGAGGUGUGUGGCUAUUAGCCUUUCCAGGAAAGUGACGGUGGCAACCGUGGUUAUAAACGUGACCAGUUAACAGAACCUAGCAGCCCUGCCUUCUGUCUGUGCCAGGGUGGAAGCCAGUGGCCCGAGCCGACCAGAAGAUCGCCUGAGCCGAGCAGAUGAGCCAGAGCCAAUCAGAGGAGCACCUGACUCCCAGCUUUAUAUUACCAUUUUUUCCUUUUAAUUUCUUCUUCUCACAUAUAUUACAUCCUGACCACAGUUUCCCCUUCGUCCCCUCCCCCUAGUCUCUUCUCCUUUCACCUUUGCUCAGAAAAGAGCACACCACUCCAGAGCAUCAACCAGACAUGCACAACAAGCUACAGUAAGUAAGACAGGCACAUAUUCUCACAUCGAGGCUGGGCAAGGCCACCCAGUAGGAGGAAAUGAGCCCCAAAGGCAGGCAGAAGAGCCAGAGAGAGCCCCUGUUCCCACUCUUAGGACAAGACCUAGCUCAGACCCCUGCAGGUUCCCUGAUCUCUUUGAGCCCCGUGAGUCCUGGUCAGUUGAUUCUGUGGGCCCUUUUGUGUGAUGUCCUUGAUCCCUGCGGCUACUCCAGCCCUUCUUCCCCCUCUUCUGCAGGACCCCCGAGCUCCGCCUAGCGUUUGGCUGUGGGACAGUGCACCUGUUCCCAUCAGUUGCUUCAUGAAGUCUCCCUGGUCUCUCUGGGGACGAUGAUGCCAGAUUUAAUAACGGGAUGCUACACUCUACAUUUCAUGAAGCAUAUUCAUUAUUUGGUGAUCUCUGCACCUGGGUCACUAGUCCAUCAAUGUCUUCAUUCACAGUUUCCUGUCAAAACUGCUUUUUUUUUUCCUUCGCAGGCAUCAGCUGGACCCCAAGGUGGGGUCUAGGCACUCCAAACCUUCAUGAACCUACACCUUAGUAGCUGUGAGUUUAUUUAUUCUUUUUGUUUGCUUAUUUGUUUGUCUUGAAACCGGCUCUCUCUAUUGUGUCUCUCCGGCUGUCCUGGAACUCACUAUGUUAAGCAGACUGGCCUCACAGAAAUCCACCUACGUCUAGCUUCUAAAUGUUAUUCUAUUUCUUUUAAAACGUAUUUAUCCAUUUAUUUAUUUUGAGACAGACCUCACUACAUGGACAGAGUGCUGGGAUUAAAGAUGCGUGUCACCAUGCCUGAACAAGAUCUGUU
rnacentral:lncRNA from 1 species